ensembl:snRNA U6 U6 spliceosomal RNA
AAAUCUUGUUAUUCAAGAUUUCAUGCAGGAAAUUGGAACGCUAUAGAGAAGAUUAGCAUGGCCCCUGCACAAUGUGGCAAUUAAUGAUUAAAACAGAAAUUUAACUUUUUU